ACGACUGCUAAGAAGACUGGAUAGGAGACAAGAAGGCAUCUUCUUGUUUUUAAAAGACCUAGCAAUAGGUAUGCUUAGGGAGGAGCUUGCGUCACAUUAGUUAGUUGGUGGGGCAAAGGCCUACCAAGACUAUGAUGUGUAGCCGGGCUGAGAGGUUGAACGGCCACAUUGGGACUGAGACACGGCCCAAACUCCUACGGGAGGCAGCAGUAGGGAAUUUUCGGCAAUGGAGGAAACUCUGACCGAGCAACGCCGCGUGAACGAUGAAGUAUUUCGGUACGUAAAGUUCUUUUAUUAGGGAAGAAUAAAUGAUGGAAAAAUCAUUCUGACGGUACCUAAUGAAUAAGCCCCGGCUAACUAUGUGCCAGCAGCCGCGGUAAUACAUAGGGGGCAAGCGUUAUCCGGAAUUAUUGGGCGUAAAGGGUGCGUAGGCGGUUAAAUAAGUUUAUGGUCUAAGUGCAAUGCUCAACAUUGUGAUGCUAUAAAAACUGUUUAGCUAGAGUAAGAUAGAGGCAAGUGGAAUUCCAUGUGUAGUGGUAAAAUGCGUAAAUAUAUGGAGGAACACCAGUAGCGAAGGCGGCUUGCUGGGUCUUUACUGACGCUGAGGCACGAAAGCGUGGGGAGCAAACAGGAUUAGAUACCCUGGUAGUCCACGCCGUAAACGAUGAGUACUAAACGUUGGGUAAAACCAGUGUUGAAGUUAACACAUUAAGUACUCCGCCUGAGUAGUACGUACGCAAGUAUGAAACUUAAAGGAAUUGACGGGACUCCGCACAAGCGGUGGAUCAUGUUGUUUAAUUCGAAGGUACCCGAAAAACCUCACCAGGUCUUGACAUGCUUCUGCAAAGCUGUAGAAACACAGUGGAGGUUAUCAGUUGCACAGGUGGUGCAUGGUUGUCGUCAGCUCGUGUCGUGAGAUGUUGGGUUAAGUCCCGCAACGAGCGCAACCCUUAUUGUUAGUUACCAGCACGUAAUGGUGGGGACUUUAGCAAGACUGCCAGUGAUAAAUUGGAGGAAGGUGGGGACGACGCCAAAUCAUCAUGCCCCUUAUGACCUGGGCUACAAACGUGAUACAAUGGCUGUUACAAAGAGUAGCUGAAGCGCAAGUUUUUGGCGAAUCUCAAAAAAACAGUCUCAGUUCGGAUUGAAGUCUGCAACUCGACUUCAUGAAGUUGGAAUCGCUAGUAAUCGCGAAUCAGCAUGUCGCGGUGAAUACGUUCGCGGGGUUUGUACACACCGCCCGUCAAAUCAC
rnacentral:rRNA from 1 species